rnacentral:rRNA from 1 species
CUGCGAACGGCUCAUUAAAUCAGUUGCGAUCUACUCGGCGUCCGCGCCGCCGGAUAACGUAGUAAUUCGUAGGGCUAAUACGUGCGAAGCGCCGAAGCCGCGAGGCGACGGCGUUCUCGCCGGAUGUAGGAACCGACCCGGGGACCGCCGGGGCAACCCGGCGCCCCCGAGACGGGGCGAACCACGGUGAAAUGACGGAUCGUCGGCCCCGCGCCGGCGACUCGCCGAAUGAGUUUCUGACCUAUCAACUCGAGACGGCGGGGUAGAGGCCCGCCGCGGUAACGACGGGUAACGGGGAAUCAGGGUUCGAUUCCGGAGAGGGAGCCCGAGAAACGGCUACCACUUCCAAGGAAGGCAGCAGGCGCGCAACUUACCCUAAUCUCGAUUCGAGGAGGUAGUGACAAGAAAUACCGAUGCGGGACCCUACGGGUGCCGCGUUCGGAAUGAGUACGAUUCGAACCACCUAACGAGGAACGAUCGGAGGGCAAGUCUGGUGCCAGCAGCCGCGGUAAUUCCAGCUCC